rnacentral:rRNA from 1 species
GUUCGGAAAGGUGACUUUCUGAGUAACGUAGCUAACGCGUGAAGUGAUCCGCCUGGGGAGUACGGUCGCAAGAUUAAAACCCAAAGGAAUUGACGGGGACCCGCACAAGCGGUGGAUGAUGUGGAUUAAUUCGAUGCAACGCGAAAAACCUUACCUACCCUUGACAUGCCUGGAAGAUCGCAGAGAUGUGAUUGUGCCUUCGGGAACCAGGACACAGGUGCUGCAUGGCUGUCGUCAGCUCGUGUCGUGAGAUGUUGGGUUAAGUCCCGCAACGAGCGCAACCCUUGUCUCUAGUUGCUACGCAAGGGCACUCUAGAGAGACUGCCGGUGACAAACCGGAGGAAGGUGGGGAUGACGUCAAGUCCUCAGGCCCUUACACG